UGUAACCUACGGGGCGCAGCAGUAGGGAAUCUUCCACAAUGGACGAAAGUCUGAUGGAGCAACGCCGCGUGAGUGAAGAAGGGUUUCGGCUCGUAAAGCUCUGUUGGUAGUGAAGAAAGAUAGAGGUAGUAACUGGCCUUUAUUUGACGGUAAUUACUUAGAAAGUCACGGCUAACUACGUGCCAGCAGCCGCGGUAAUACGUAAGUGGCAAGCGUUUUCCGGAUUUAUUUGGCGUAAAGCGAGU
rnacentral:rRNA from 1 species